GCGCCCGUAGCUCAAUGGAUAGAGUAGCUGGCUUCGAACCAGUUGGUUGGGAGUUCGAGUCUCUCCGGGCGUA
rnacentral:tRNA from 1 species